UACGGGGGGAGCAAGCGUUGUUCGGAAUUACUGGGCGUAAAGCGCGCGUAGGCGGCUUUGUAAGUUAGAGGUGAAAGCCUGGAGCUCAACUCCAGAAUUGCCUUUAAGACUGCAUCGCUAGAAUCCAGGAGAGGUGAGUGGAAUUCCGAGUGUAGAGGUGAAAUUCGUAGAUAUUCGGAAGAACACCAGUGGCGAAGGCGGCUCACUGGACUGGUAUUGACGCUGAGGUGCGAAAGCGUGGGGAGCAAACAGG
rnacentral:rRNA from 1 species